rnacentral:rRNA from 1 species
CCUACGGGAGGCAGCAGUGGGGAAUAUUGGGCAAUGGGCGCAAGCCUGACCCAGCAACGCCGCGUGAAGGAAGAAGGCUUUCGGGUUGUAAACUUCUUUUGUCAGGGAAGAGUAGAAGACGGUACCUGACGAAUAAGCCACGGCUAACUACGUGCCAGCAGCCGCGGUAAUACGUAGGUGGCAAGCGUUGUCCGGAUUUACUGGGUGUAAAGGGCGUGUAGCCGGGUUGACAAGUCAGAUGUGAAAUCCUGCGGCUUAACCGCAGAACUGCAUUUGAAACUGUUGAUCUUGAGUACUGGAGAGGCAGACGGAAUUCCUAGUGGAGCGGUGAAAUGCGUAGAUAUUAGGAGGAACACCAGUGGCGAAGGCGGUCUGCUGGACAGCAACUGACGGUGAGGCGCGAAAGCGGGGGGAGCAAACAGGAUUAGAUACCCCAGUAGUC